AUUCCCGUGGCUCAGUCAGUAGAGCAUUGUGCUACCAGCUCAAAGGUCAAGGGUUCAAACCCCAGGAAAA